GAGAAUGAAAGCAGGGUGGUGGGGCUGACUCACUGGAUGACUCACUUCCUUGCCCAGGGAUGUUCUGAGCAUCCACCGAGCCGCUCCUCACACUCCGCACACCCUCUGUUCCCUUUUUGCGGGGAAGGCCCAGAGAAGAUGGCCCUGGCCCCAUGGAGAGUGGGAAGCAGGGCAUCAGACCUUCCCCGUCCACCCAGGACCCAGGGAGAGGGCGGCCGGCUAGAAAAUCCUUUUCCGUCUUACAAAAUACGAUGGAUUUUGAGAAAGAACAGUUUUUGCCCUAGAAUACAGGAGAGACUCUAGACUCAUUUUGCCCUUUC
rnacentral:lncRNA from 1 species